CGAACGGGUGAGUAAUGCGUGACCAACCUGCCCCAUGCUCCAGAAUAGCUCUUGGAAACGGGUGGUAAUGCUGGAUGCUCCAACUUGACGCAUGUCUUGUUGGGAAAGUGUUUAGUGGCAUGGGAUGGGGUCGCGUCCUAUCAGCUUGUAGGCGGGGUAAUGGCCCACCUAGGCUUCGACGGGUAGCCGGCCUGAGAGGGCGGACGGCCACAUUGGGACUGAGAUACGGCCCAGACUCCUACGGGAGGCAGCAGCA
rnacentral:rRNA from 1 species